AGCGAACGCUGGCGGCAGGCCUAACACAUGCAAGUCGAACGAACUCUUCGGAGUUAGUGGCGGACGGGUGAGUAACACGUGGGAACGUGCCUUUUGGUUCGGAAUAACUCAGGGAAACUUGUGCUAAUACCGAAUGUGCCCUUCGGGGGAAAGAUUUAUCGCCAUUAGAGCGGCCCGCGUCUGAUUAGCUAGUUGGUGAGGUAACGGCUCACCAAGGCGACGAUCAGUAGCUGGUCUGAGAGGAUGACCAGCCACACUGGGACUGAGACACGGCCCAGACUCCUACGGGAGGCAGCAGUGGGGAAUCUUGCGCAAUGGGCGAAAGCCUGACGCAGCCAUGCCGCGUGAAUGAUGAAGGUCUUAGGAUUGUAAAAUUCUUUCACCGGGGGCGAUAAUGACGGUACCCGGAGAAGAAGCCCCGGCUAACUUCGUG
rnacentral:rRNA from 1 species